UACGGAGGGAGCUAGCGUUGUUCGGAAUUACUGGGCGUAAAGCGCACGUAGGCGGCUUUGUAAGUUAGAGGUGAAAGCCCGGGGCUCAACUCCGGAACUGCCUUUAAGACUGCAUCGCUUGAAUCCAGGAGAGGUGAGUGGAAUUCCGAGUGUAGAGGUGAAAUUCGUAGAUAUUCGGAAGAACACCUGCGGCGAAGGCGGGUUGCUGGGCCGACACUGACGCUGAGGCGCGAAAGCCAGGGGAGCGAACGGG
rnacentral:rRNA from 1 species